rnacentral:tRNA from 1 species
GCUUGGCUGGCUCAGUCAGUAGGGCCUGUGACUCUCAAUCUCGAGAUUGUGAGUUUGAGCCCCAUGUUAGGUG